rnacentral:misc_RNA from 1 species
UCGUGAUCAUAUAGCCUGUGC